rnacentral:rRNA from 1 species
CAGCAGUCGCCGCGGUAAUACGGAGGGUGCAAGCGUUAAUCGGAAUUACUGGGCGUAAAACGCACGCAGGCGGUCUGUCAAGUCAGAUGUGAAAUCCCCGGGCUUAACCUGGGAACUGCAUUUGAAACUGGCAGGCUAGAGUCUUGUAGAGGGGGGUAGAAUUCCAGGUGUAGCGGUGAAAUGCGUAGAGAUCUGGAGGAAUACCGGUGGCGAAGGCGGCCAUCUGGCCUAAUACUGACGCUGAGGUACGAAAGCAUGGGGAGCAAACAGGAUUAGAUACCCCUGUAGUCCCUGUCUCUUAUAC